rnacentral:lncRNA from 1 species
UUUGUCAUAAAACGAUUGUAUUAUACCAAGAUUGUAAGUUACAAAAUAUGGAUGGACAGAGUUUCCUUCAUUCAAGAAGGUAUAUCAUCUAACCGAAAGUAUGUAAAUACUCCGGAUGUUUAGAUAACAUAGCCUUUCAAGUCAGAAGAGAUAACCCAAAAAAAGGCCUCGUUAAAACCCCUCAAGAGUAAAACCCUGUGGGAAAAAAAUCAAGGGAGAAAAAGAGUGCCCUGCAAAAUUACAUCGUUUACAAAACUGAAUAAAAACUGAUGUCUUCUUAUAUUCCCUUCUAUCAAUAUUUGUAGCUCAAUUGUCUUGUACACCAAGAUUCGCGUCUUCUCGGAAGCAUCCUUAAUAAGUAAAUUCAUAAAAUCUCUUUCAAACAUCCUGAAAAUAAGACUAAACCGAAUAAAACUAUGAGCGAAUUUAAAAAAAAAUUAAGCUAAAGACAUAAAUGAGGCAAUACUAUGGCACUUAAAUGCCUCUAUAGGCCAAAAAUGACCCAAUUAAGGUCUCCAUAAAUGGAACAAAGAACCCUUAAUUAAGAAUAAUUAAUAUCCUUCACUAAGGCACAAUUAUCACCCAAAUUAGCAUCCUUCUUCUCCGCCCCUUACUGAAUCUCUCCACCACCAUCAUGGAUGUUACGAUCUUGUUAUGUAAGAAGCUCCUGCAUCCAUGACAAUUAACAAUACCAGAACAAUACAAAUAUAUAUAUAUAUNAUAUAUAUAUAUAUAUAUAUAUAUAUAUAUAUAUAUAUAUAUAUAUAAAUCACCGGAUAUCCAUACCCAUUCUUCUCUCUCUUCUCUUCUCGUCUAGCCUGGAGGCCCUGGACAGCAGCUAUGGCUUCCGCCAUGACCACCAACCUCGACUUCUGCCGCUACAGAACCCCAUCCAACACGGCUUUCAGCCAUCUUGCAAAUCCACUCCGUCUCGCCAUCGACCCCCCUUAUUCGUCUUUUCCUGCCAGACACGUCCUUUGGGUAGCGCUGCCGCCCUCAAGUAUACCCCACCACCAAGAAACCCCGACCUCCUCCUAAAAGUACCCCACCACGAACCAACCUCCGAUUUCCAAUAAUCAACUGCUGAUUCUAAAAGAUUUAGAGGAAAAAACGAUCCAAGUCAGUGUUUUAAACGCUCGAAAAUCAAUGAUUUUAGCCGGAGACAUGUAGGGUUACCUGGAGAGAGAAAGAGGGAGAAAGAGGGGGAAGAGAUGAACUUCCUAAUAUUCUGUAAUCUUGGUUAUAAUACAUAUUAUUUUAAAAUCACUAAAAAUAUAAGAAUAUUAGAAUUAAAAUUAGAAGUGUGAAUUAUUAAAGAUUAAUUUGUGUAAUGCACAUCAUAAGCUAAUAU